rnacentral:rRNA from 1 species
GACGAACGCUGGCGGCGUGCUUAACACAUGUAAGUCGAACGGUGAAAGCGGAGCUUGCUCCGCUGGAUCAGUGGCGAACGGGUGAGUAACACGUGGGCAACCCGCCCCUCACGUCGGGAUAACUCCGGGAAACCGGGGCUAAUACCGCAUAUGACCUCCGUGGGCAUCCUGUGAGGUGGAAAGUUUUUCGGGGAGGGAUGGGCCCGCGGCCUAUCAGCUUGUUGGUGAGGUAGUGGCUCACCAAGGCGACGACGGGUAGCCGGCCUGAGAGGGCGACCGGCCACACUGGGACUGAGACACGGCCCAGACUCCUACGGGAGGCAGCAGUGGGGAAUAUUGCGCAAUGGGCGAAAGCCUGACGCAGCAACGCCGCGUGCGGGAUGACGGCCUUCGGGUUGUAAACCGCUUUCAGCAGGGAAGAAGCCGCAAGGUGACGGUACCUGCAGAAGAAGCACCGGCUAACUACGUGCCAGCCGCCGCCGUAA